GACGGAGGGCGCGAACGUUGUUCGGAAUCACUGGGCGUAAAGAGCGCGCAGGCGGCCAAGUCAGUCGAAUGUGAAAGCCCCCGGCUUAACUGGGGAGGGUCAUUCGAUACUGCUCGGCUCGAAGACAGGAGAGGGAAGCGGAAUUCCCGGUGUAGUGGUGAAAUGCGUAGAUAUCGGGAGGAACACCAGUGGCGAAGGCGGCUUUCUGGCCUGUUCUUGACGCUGAGGCGCGAAAGCUAGGGGAGCAAACGGG
rnacentral:rRNA from 1 species